CACAUUUAAUGUGGAAUAUGAACGAGCACAUAAAAAAAUCGGAUUUCAUCAAAAAAUCCACAUUAAAACCUGCUGUGUGAACGUAGCCUUAGAGGAGUUUGUCCUCAUUAAAAAGCCAGAAAACACUAAUGACGACUACAGCGGCGUAUUAGGCCACAUCGGAAAAAUAAAAACACUUGUUACUUUGAGAAUAAAGUCGUAAUAUUUCGAGAAUAAGGACAUAAUAUUAUGUGAAUAAAGUCGCAGUUUAAAGAAAAAAACUCAGUUUAAGAAAAAUAAUGUCAUACUUCUACGAGAUUAAAGUUGUAAUAUUUUGAAAAUAAAUUCACAAUAGUGCGAUAAAAAGUCAUAAUUUAUGAAUGGUAAACCUUAAGUAAGUUAAGUAAUUUGCUCCAAAUCUUUUUAGUUAAUGACAAA